GGGGGCGAUCGGCUUCGACUGGGUCACCGUAGGUUGAGGUGGCGUGCCGUGGUUGGUCAGUUGGCCACGUUAAAAGCUGACCACAAACUAAUUGCCAAUAAGCAAUUCUCAAUGGCUGCCUAACAUCGGCAGU
rnacentral:tmRNA from 1 species